UCGUGAGAACAAUUCUCAAGUUAUGGAGCUAAUCCAUAUAAUUUGGACCAGUGAGGCGGUUGACAUCAAGUAUGCCACGUAAGGGAAUUGAAAGCGACAUUUUCUAAAAAUAAAAAUGCAGCAGAAAUGAAUAACAUGCAUAUUUUGCAAGAAAUAAACUAUCAAGAUAUGGACUUCUAUCUUAAUAUGCUCCCACUAUUUUAC
rnacentral:lncRNA from 1 species